UGCUUCAUUCGGUGUUUUUCUCCUCACACUUUUAUUGCUGAGUGCUGGGAUGCUGCCCGCCUGCUGGGGGAUGCCAUCACUGUUCCUGUUUUGCUGGCUGUGACCAGCCGCUGUCCUCUGCUCCUGCAGCAGCUCCUGAUAACUGCUGUGAUGUAUUGCUGGAUGGACGGGGCUUGCACUGCCCUGCAGUCCCGCUGAUAUAAAAAUGCCUUUAAGAUCCUGCCUUUCCCAUCCUAAUCUACAAAGGAAACAGGAAAAAGGAACUUAAACUCCCUGUACUCAGACAGCAAUGAGACUGUUCCAGCCUGCUCUGUUGCUGCAGUUUCUUGCCUGUGUCUUGUAAACACGCCCAGCAUGCCGGAGGGGAACCACUGGUAAAACUUUGACCGGGGGAAGGAUACUCCAUGAGCUGCUGCAAGAACUGGAUGGAUAUAUUCUGGAAAGCAUGGACCCUUUGGCACCUCUGGUUCUGUAUGGAUUCAGCCUGAUUAUUUCAGGUGUUCCCACAGCAGGCGAGGGGAGGAGGGCUGGGAGCCAGGUAUCAAGGAGUGUGCUCUGCAUGCACAGUCUGCUGCCACCUCAUCCUAAGCACUGCAGUCACCUGUUGAUGCACACACACACACACUGCAAACCAGAUGCCGACUCUUUCUGUGGCUUACUUUGUGAACUGGCUGUGCAGCAGGAAGUGUUGGCACUUCCAGGUAUCCCAGUGUUAUACUGAUAUUUGGACUUGCUUUUCUCCUUGUUGAAACUCUCCCGUUGUUGUUUAGUGUCACUGGGUUCAUUAAACUGCCGAUCGUUCUCAGACCGUUCUUUCUUUUCAUCUUUUCCCUCCUAGACCCAUACACUAUCUCCCUCCUCUUCCCCUCUCUUGGAGCGCAUGUGGACGGGCCAUGCUGCACUCUGCUGUUAGAGAGGGAAGACAUUUUGUUCCUUCUCUCCCCGGGUCUGUUCCCGCUGUCACGGCGUGAGCUCUAGAGCUCUAGUGAGCUCUGUUUUUAAGGGGAUAUUUCUAACAGACAAGUGCUUGAUUCCUUUUCCUCCUACGUGACUCAGUGUUGUCUGAUUUCUUUGCUAAUGAUGUCAAAUGUGUCUUACACUCUUUUUCUUCUGUUUGUUCCUAAAUGAGGUGCAACUGUGUGGGAAGAAAGACCAACACUAACUGUUGUAGUCAUUAAAAGAGCGCCACAAGAGAUGAUUUUUCACUGCAGUCCUAAGUAGAUGAAGCUGUAAAAUCUAAAUAUCGUGAAUAAAUGCAAUGUAAUCUCGAGGAGUGCUGUGAAG
rnacentral:lncRNA from 1 species